rnacentral:snRNA from 1 species
GCGCUUGGUUCAGCAGCGGAUAUACUAAAAUUGGAACGACACAGAGAAGAUUAGUGUGACCCCUGCAUAAGGAUGACGCACUAAUUUGUGAAGCGUGCCAUAAAAUA